GUCCAAUUCUGCCAACCUGCUACAAGUUCCACGGACUGAGCGACGGACUUGGGGUGAUCGGGCCUUCUCAGUUGCUGCCCCCACCCUUUGGAAUUCACUCCCCUCCCACAUCAAAACAGCCCCCCCACAAAGGCCCUGGCCCAGGUCAUGGGGAACCUGAGGUUCCAGGUGAAGGGCCUCAAAAAGAAGAGGGUUCAACCAGCAUCCACCUCCCGGCUUGAUGAGGAGAAGCCUUUGGGCCGCCCUUCAGGCCGGAGCCCCUUCCCUGGCCAGACCGCCCCGGACCAAGACCAGACCGCCCCGGACCAAGACCAGACCGCCCCAGACCCAAGCCAGACCGCCCUGGACCAAGGCCAGACCGCCAAUGAACCUGAACCCCAACACCAGGGAGAAGGCUCAGGCCCUAUCGUGGCCUGGCUGCCUCCGACCGCAGACGGGCCCCCCAGGAAGGACCUGGCCCAGGUCGUGGGGAACCUGAAGGUCCGGGUGAAGGGAGUCAGGAAGCUGAGGGUGGAAACAGCAACCAUGGACCCAGGCCAGACCGCCCAGGACCCAAACCAGCUCCCCAAUGUGCCUGGUGAGCUGGCUGCAUUGUGUUUACCUGCUUGUGUGUACAGCCCCCCCACAAAGGCCCUGGCCCAGGUCAUGGGGAACCUGAGGUUUCGGGUGAAGGGCCUCAAAAAGAAGAGGGUUCAACCAGCAUCCACCUCCCGGCUUGAUGAGGAGAAGCCUUUGGGCCGCCCUUCAGGCCGGAGCCCCUUCCCUGGCCAGACCGCCACGGACCAAGGCCAGACCGCCCCGGACCCAAGCCAGAUCCCUGAGGAACCUGGUGAACAGGGCCCGAGAAAGGACCUGUCCCAGGUCUUGGGGAACGUGAGGGUCCGGGUGAGGGCACUAAGAAAGAAGAGGGUCGAAACAGCUACCACAGCACUGACGGAGCAGGAGGAGGAGAAGCCUUUGGGCCGCCCUUCACGCCAGAACACCUUUAGGCGAAUCAAGAUGGCCUGGGCCGACCCAAAGGCCGUCAUCACCACCGACGCACCCCCGAACACCCCUGAACAUCAGGAUCUGGUCAUCGAGGCUGAGGAGGAGGGGGAAGCCACAGCUCAGGCUGAGGGGACGAGCCUCAGGCCCCGGGUCAACAAGUGGCUGAACCGUAGAAUGAAGGAGAUGUCUACAUUUGCGGCCCGGUUCCAGUGUGGGUCGUGUGUGCGCUAAGAAAAAAAAAAGGAAAGAAAAGAAAAUAGCAUAUAAAAACCCAAAAAAAACAACUGCAAAAUAAAAUGUAUUACAUUGUGAAGACAAAGUAUGCACGUCAAACAUCUGAUGGCGCCCGACCAAGUCCAGAUCGAUCUGGGGUUUCACUCCAGUGGGAUGUCACAUCGAUGUGGACCUGGGCUGGACUUAUCCGAUGUUUGAUGUCCAUACUUUGUCUGGGCCCAGGUGAAUUUAAACAAAGUAUGUACGUCAAACAACUGAAGUGACCCGACCAGGUCGACAUCGAUGUGACAUCACACAGGAGUGAAACCCCAGCUUUGUCUGAGCCCGGGUGAAUUUAAACAAAGUAGUCAAACAUCUGAUGGGACCCAACCAAGUCCUCAUCGGUGUUACAUCACAUUGAGGUGUGUAAUGCUUUGUUUAAAUUCACCUGCGCUUGGACCAAGCUGCGGUUUCUCUCCAGUGUGAAAUCACAUCGAUGUGGACUUGGUUGGGUCCCAUCCGAUGUUGGACGUACACACUUUGUUUCAAUUCGCC
ensembl:lncRNA